GGCGAACGAUGGCGGCGUGCUUAACACAUGCAAGUCGAACGAUGAACGCUGGAGCUUGCUCCGGCUGGAUUAGUGGCGAACGGGUGAGUAACACGUGAGCAAUCCGCCCUUGACUCUGGGAUAACUCCGAGAAAUCGGUGCUAAUACCGGAUAUGACCCUUGGCGGCAUCGCCGGCGGUGGAAAGUUUUUCGGUCAAGGCUGAGCUCGCGGCCUAUCAGCUUGUUGGUGGGGUAAUGGCCCACCAAGGCGACGACGGGUAGCCGGACGGAGAGGGGGACCGGCAACACUGGGACUGAGACACGGCCCAGACUCCUACGGGAGGCAGCAGUGGGGGAUAUUGCACAAUGGGCGCAAGCCUGAUGCAGCAACGCCGCGUGGGGGAUGACGGCCUUCGGGUUGUAAACCUCUUUUAGCAGGGAAGAAGCGAAAGUGACGGUACCUGCAGAAAAAGCACCGGCUAACUACGUGCCAGCCGCCGCCGUAA
rnacentral:rRNA from 1 species